rnacentral:rRNA from 1 species
UAAAGUUGUUGCGGUUAAAAAGCUCGUAGUCGNAGGUGUGUCUCGGACGGUCGGUUCGCCGCUUGUCGGUGCUCAACUGGCCGGUCCGGACGUCCUGCCGGUGGGGCCGCGAGGCUCCGUUAUCCUUCUUUGGUCCUCUUCACCGAGUGCCUUGGUGGGCCGGCACGUUUACUUUGAACAAAUUAGAGUGCUCAAAGCAGGCCGUUGGUCGCCUGAAUACUGUGUGCAUGGAAUAAUGGAAUAGGACCUCGGUUCCAUUUUGUUGGUUUUCAGAACUCGAGGUAAUGAUUAAUAGGGACGGACGGGGGCAUUCGUAUUGCGACGUUAGAGGUGAAAUUCUUGGAUCGUCGCAAGACGAACCGAUGCGAAAGCAUUUGCCAAGAACGUUUUCGUUGAUCAAGAACGAAAGUUAGAGGUUCGAAGGCGAUCAGAUACCGCCCUAGUUCUAACCAUAAACGAUGCCAGCUAGCCAUCCGCCGAAGUUCCUUCUAUGACUCGGCGGGCAGCUUCCGGGAAACCAAAGCUCUUGGGUUCCGGGGGAAGUAUGGUUGCAAAGCUCNNACUUAAAGGAAUUGACGGAA